rnacentral:lncRNA from 1 species
CAAAAUACAAAAUUAUAGAAAAAUUACCAAAAAUGGCAAAAUCCUGAAAUUACACCAGAAUAAAAUAUUAAGUAAAAGAAGUAGGUUGCUAAAAAUUUGGCUAAAUUCAAGUUUUCUAACAUAUGGAGAAAGGGAAAUGAAAUAUUACCAUAAAUAGCAAAAAAUAACUAAAAAUUGAAUUUUGGAAAGGAAAACAACGGAUUUUGGGCUCGAAAUUGACGCCCAUAAGCUCGAUGGCCACAACGUGCGUGCCAAAGAGAGCUUUUCGAAUUGGGGUCAUAAUAGCGAUUCUGAUAACUGCAGCCAAAGUUUUGCCAAAUUACCAAAGACGUGUCAAAUUCCCCCCAAUUAAGGAAAUAAUUGCGAUUCAUUUCCCAUCUUUGUGCCGAUACGCCAUCUCAUGGUAUCUCAGCGCUAUCAUCGUGUUAUCUGACAAAUCAACAUCACUCGAUUCGGAUCCUUCUGCAUCACAAGUACAAGAUAGUACCGAGCUAACUUUAUGUACAUGUUAAUUGGUAUAUUCAUAUUUUUACAUCAUUACAAGAUCAAACGAGUUCAAUUACCAGAAAACUCUACUCAUAAUGUUUGAGAUAAAACUAUAUUUUACACUAACUGGUUUACUUUACAUGCAUUUCACGUUUAUUUAUAUCUUAGAAGAAUUUGUAAUUUAUGCCUUUAAUAUAUUUGGAGUUGGAAAAAAAAUAUUUAGCUAGAUAAAUUUAAACAUAUUUUUUUCGCACAUUUUGCACACGUCUCUUUGUUUUUCAGUUUCUUUCUUUUUUCUUCUUCUUUUUCAUUUUUUCCCCAUAUCUUGUUAAUCUUUAUGGCUUUUACAUGAGAUUGGAUAUGUUCUCAUUCAAAAUAUGUACACUGAGAACUAGUGAAAAGUGCUUGUAUUACACUCGGUGAAAUGGUUAGUGUGGAUCAAGGAAGAUGAAUUAACUAGAAAAAUUAAUGUUCAUCUAACAUAAAAUAAGGAUUCUUUUUAUAUGCUAAUUUGGACAAGAUAAAAACUUGUACACAUAAUUUAGUUAAGUGGUUUUGUCACAUAAACAUAUUAAAAAAAUUUUACUGGAAAAAAAAAAUGCUUGUUAAUGUGCCUAGUAAGGUUAAUGAUUUUAUUCAACAUUAAGCAGUUAGUUUCAAAUAAUUAACAAAUUGGACCUAACACUACCCACCUACACUUAUAGAACAUUUUUUUACAUGUUGAUGUUAAAACUAUUGAUUCGUGUUGCGUAGAAAUUUUUGAACCUAUAUUCUAACAUAUAUAGAUUUCAAAACACCCAUACUAUCGACAAAAUUUUGAAUAAAAUAUUGGUAUCAAAUAAAUAAAUGUUGUACCUUCGAUAUAGAAUCAUUCCUUUAAUAUUUAUAAAACCAGAUGUUUUUUCAGAUUACUUAAAGCCCUCGUGAUUUAUCAAAUAAAUGAACAUAAAAAGAUGUCAAAGAACUUCAAAGAUUGGUGCAUCUGUCAAACUUAAACAACUUCUCCAACUCUAUAGUUUAGUUACAUUAACAAAACGAAUAUAAAAACUUGAGCAAGUAUGCACAAUGUAGAAGUGCAGUGCAAAGCAGCUUUGCCCUCGCGUCCCACCUUAUAUGUGCUGGGGCAUCUCAUGCUGACCUUUGUUCAGUCGAAACCCUAUCAUUAUAGAACAAUAUUAAUAAAUUUAUUUCAUUGACUGUUGUUAUAAAUAUAACGGAGUGGUUCAGUAUGAAAUUUUAUUUAUUUCUUAUAAGUAAAAUGGAAGCAAAGACAUUUCUUUAUUCCCUUUACAACGAAAGUGAUAGUAUUUAGUAACUCUAUUUUUGAGCUAUAACUAAUUAACUUUAUUUACCACUGUAGAAAGUGGAGUACGUACAUGCUAUUAGAUUAAUUUUUAAGUCGCGUACUCGCGUAGUACUUUAUGACUCAACAUAACGAUUAUGAUCUUAUUAGACUAAAUACCCAGAAUAUCCUUAAUAUGGGCGCUGGCCAAUAAAAUUACCAGGAGGAGCAUAGUUGCAAGAUACAAACCACCACCCAUUGUUGCACCGGGCUCUAGCGCAUCCAAGGCGCAGUGAAUUACGCCACACUACCUGUGUGUAAUGCCGGCACUCUCCUACGACACAAGAAUUCGAGUUAUAAUCAUAAUUGCGCUUCUCCAACACCCAUAAAUCAACUGCUGCCUUUCCGGUAAAAUCUCCACUGCCCUUUGCAAGGUUCUCUCCAUAGCUUCGGCUACCAGAGUGGACGAGGUUGCAGUCACCAGUCCUCUGAUUAACAUAGUUUCGAGCAAAGUCUGCUNUGUGA